GUUGUUUCUGAUGGAACAGUCUGAACAGCCUUUCUUUCACCCAAAGGAUCAAGACAAGGCUGGCAGCCACUGGAACCCUGAAGCCACCUGGAAAGACAAUUCUGCAGUGCUGGACAGUACCCCAGCUCUGGGAAGUAAGACUCCUCUGGGCCUCCAAGUGCCACACACUGCUGCUUGGCCUUGAUGGCCACUUAGAGUUACAAUGUCUACAAAGUAGUUACUUCCUGCAGUAAAACACAAGCUAGGUACUGUGGGGUAUAAGACUGAUCAUCAUGCAAGAUGAAUUCUAAAGGACCUGCUGAUCCUGUUCAGGUGAAGAAAAGUCACCAACUGGACUCAGGAUACCUGUUUGACCAACCUUUGCUUAUGUUUCUAUCUUCAAUCAAAAGUGAAUUUUUACUGCAGAGACACAGAUACACACAUAUGCCUCUCUAAUGUCACACAGGGUAGAAUGGGAGGUACUAAUUCUAAAAUUUCCUCUAAUAGGUAAUAAAGCAAAUUCAUUUUA